rnacentral:lncRNA from 1 species
UGGCAACUUCUCAAAUCACCCCCAUAUACAAUCAAUAAUUCGACCCGACUUAUUUCAGAUCGAUAUCACCCCUCACAAAUGCCGACAUUCUCCGUCAGAGACCGCCACAAAGCAGCACGUGGCGCUUAGCUGAGUCUCCAACCGCUCAGAACGUGCAUUUUGCCACAUGGCUCAUCCGGCGGCAGUUUCAGUCACAAUUUACCCGAUGGCGCCACCACCGUUUACCGCCUAGAAACAAGCGGACGCUCUAUCCCCACCACGUAGCUAUGAUUCCCCUCGAUAAGGCGGGGCAUAUAACUCAUUGUGUCUAUCAUUAGGCGUGUCAAGAACUAACGGGGAAAGAAAGUGGGAGUUUUGCGGAAGUGGACGUUAGCAAAACGGUUCACUAUUAUCAAGUUGUGGUUGCUGGUCGAAUCGUGGUCUAUUUCACUAGUUUCGUUGGAAUGACGUUACCAAGUCGGUUAUUAUUGACAUUAGUUUUUGGCCAGGUGUGCUUGGUGGUUCGUCGAAAGAACACGCCGCCAACUCAACUCUCAAAGUUCUGCCCCCGGCCUGCCGCGCCGCCCCACUCCACACACGCAAGUUGGCGGAACACGCAGGUCCGAACUGCCGCCGCCAACUACGAUGAAUUCGCUCCACCAAGUCGGUUCUCAGUUGCAGCUACAGUUUCGUUCUGACAUGUCUUCAUCGAUCAAGUGGGCAUCAGUUGGUAGCAAGUCCCAUGUGCUCAUCAAGACUGAACUGAAGAACGAAAUCUCACACUGUCGAUUUCCACAUAACGACGGAUUAGUGCGUGUGUUUUUUUUGUGAAUCGAUGGAUCUCAGUGAACGGUUUUUACAUUUUUGUUACUCUGACCAGUUUGUCGCCAAAGUGAUCUCUGGAGCAGCAAAUGCCACUUAUGAAUUUGACGCAAUGUUUCAUCAUAUUGGUGAGUACCACACACAUUUCGAUCAUAAUCGAGUGACUAAAUAUUUGCUAAAUAGUUCUCAGGGGCAUUUUUUGUUUUCAUUUAUCCAUGGUUCUUUAGUACUUUCAUUUGCUGAUGCUAAUCAAUUGUUUACUCCUAAUUAUCACGCUAACGGCUGAUUGAACUAAUCCAGAAAGAAACUGAGGGUUUUUUAAAAUUUAUAAUUGCAGUAACGAAUGUCACAAUGUUAAACGCAACGAGAAGCAGUUGUUAUCAAUUUAAAAAUAAAUGAAACCGUCAAUGUAUAAUAGUUCUCGAACAUGAGGAAUGUCUACAGUUGAGUUCUUUUGUAGCUGAUAUAUUCGCAUUGUAGAAAUGAGACCUUUAAUUAGCCACCGA